rnacentral:rRNA from 1 species
UGGGGGAUAUUGCACAAUGGGCGAAAGCCUGAUGCAGCGACGCCGCGUGGGGGAUGAAGGCCUUCGGGUUGUAAACUUCUUUUGCUCUGAACAAGGCAUGCUAAUGGGUGUGUUGAGUGUAGGGGUUGAUUAGCGCCGGCUAACUACGUGCCAGCAGCCGCGGUAAUACGUAGGGCGCGAGCGUUGUCCGGAAUUAUUGGGCGUAAAGGGCUUGUAGGUGGCUGGUUGCGUCUGUCGUGAAAGCUCAUGGCUUAACUGUGGGUUUGCGGUGGGUACGGGCUGGCUUGAGUGCAGUAGGGGAGGCGGGAAUUCCUGGUGUAGCGGUGGAAUGCGCAGAUAUCAGGAGGAAUACCGGUGGCGAAGGCGGGUCUCUGGGCUGUUACUGACACUGAGGAGCGAAAGCAUGGGGAGCGAACAGG